GGCAACGACCAUACCACGUUGAAUACACCAGUUCUCGUCCGAUCACUGAAGUUAAGCAACGUCGGGCGGAGUUAGUACUUGGAUGGGUGACCGCUUGGGAACACUACGUGCCGUUGGCA